rnacentral:rRNA from 1 species
CCUACGGGAGGCAGCAGUGGGGAAUAUUGGGCAAUGGGCGCAAGCCUGACCCAGCAACGCCGCGUGAAGGAAGAAGGCUUUCGGGUUGUAAACUUCUUUUCUCAGGGACGAAGCAAGUGACGGUACCUGAGGAAUAAGCCACGGCUAACUACGUGCCAGCAGCCGCGGUAAUACGUAGGUGGCAAGCGUUAUCCGGAUUUACUGGGCGUAAAGGGCGUGCAGGCGGGAAAGCAAGUCAGAUGUGAAAACCAUGGGCUCAACCUGUGGACUGCAUUUGAAACUGUUUUGCUUGAGUACUGGAGAGGCAGACGGAAUUCCUAGUGUAGCGGUGAAAUGCGUAGAGAUUAGGAGGAACACCAGUGGCGAAGGCGGUCUGCUGGACAGCAACUGACGCUGAGGCGCGAAAGCGUGGGGAGCAAACAGGAUUAGAUACCCUUGUAGUC